UUUGCCUGUUGGGGCUCGGGGGCAGUAUUGAGACAUUUUGAAAAAAAUAUGUGCCCAUUUUUAACUGCCUCCUACACCAACUCAGAAGCUAGGAUAUGCAUAUUAUUAACACAUUCGGAUAGAAAACACUCUGAAUUUUCUAAAACAGUUUGAAUGGUGUCUGUAAGUAUAACAAAACUCAUAUUGCAGGCAAAAACCUGUGAAAAAUAGAUCAAAAAAAAUGUGAAUUUUGUGACUGUAAUAUUUAGUGUCAUUGUUUUAUAGAUACCAUAGUGAGAAAGGAUUCAUUUCGCAACACCUACGGCUUCCACUAGAUGUCAACGAUCUUUAUAAAGUUGUUUGAAGCGUCUAUGAUAAACAGAGAGCAAAUUAGAAUCCAAGGAAGUUGACAUGUCAUCACUUCAUUUUUUUGCGCCUGCGCAUAAAUCUGAGAAACGUGAGUUUUGUCUUCAUUGUUUAUCUCGACAUAGGAUAGGUUGUGUGAAAAUAUUACUGAUGUUUAACGUUAAAAAUGGACCAAAAGAUUAAUGCUAAACAACAUUUGACAUGUUUGAACGAACAUAAAUAGAUUAUUUACUAGUUUUUUUUAGCUUUUCGGCGUGAUUUUACAGUCCCCCACCACGUUUUGUGGGAGCAUAAUGAACGCUAAGUACUUGGUGUUAUUUGGACAUAAAUUAUGAACUUUGUCAAAAGAAACCACAUUUGUUCCGGACCUGGGAUGCCUUCCGGACCUGGGAUGCCUGUCUUCUGAUGGAGAUAAUCAAAGAGAAAAGGACCACAAGCUGAAAACUUUCCUCUCGAUCGAACCAAUCGCUGCUCGCAUGUCCUUUCAUGGUAAAGUACAACUAGUCAUGAGCACGGAAAUAAGCAGCAAAGACCUUGUUACUCAAAGACCCAGCUACUCUCUGACAGUCACCAUCAGAACAUCAGACCACCAGAUGGACAGGCUGUGUGUCGCUCUGAUUGCAUUCUUAUCUCCAACUGAGACUCAGGGGAGGUGACAGCAGAGAGCAGACUAUAGUCAAAGUCUCUUAAGGUGUUGCUAUCUAAGGUGAACACCUCAAAGAAGCUGAAUAAUUUCCAUUGACGUCACGUUAUUGUGAAACCUGUUUACGUCGAUGCUAGACCCUCCCCUUCAUGUCACACAAAAAGGUUUUCAGGGAAAAGGACCACAGGCUGAAAACGUUCCACUCGAUCGAACCAAUCGCUGCUCGUAUGUCCUUUCAUGGUAAAGUACAUCUAGUCAUGAACACAGAAAUACGCAGCAAAGACCUUUUUACUCAAAGACCCAGCUACUCUCUGACAGUCACCAUCAGACCAUCAGACCACCAGAUGGACAGGCUGUGUGUCACUCUGAUUGCAUUCUUAUGUGCUGUUUCCUCCAGUCAGGAUGGGAUCUCUGCAGCAGAGGUGGAGAUGAGAGUCAGACCAGGAGACAACAUCACUCUCUACUGUGACUGUAACAUAACUUCUGGAAUAUACAUUAUGUGGUAUAGGAACUGUUCUCACAAGUACCAGCCUCCUCUUGUUAUUUUAACUACGUUUUUAAGUUCCAUCUCUCUCCCUGGAUUUAAUGUGUUAUGGAACCCCUCUAACAACUCCUAUGAUCUACUGAUUGAGAACAUCACUGAAUCUGACCUGGGACUCUACUACUGUGGGACUGUGGAGUACAAGGUGGAAGAAGGAAAACGAAUGAAAUAUAAAGAGUUGUUCCACUAUGGAAACAUCACCACUCGGAUUUCACUUGAAACCAGUCCUCCUGCCAGUCUAUUGCCAGAAACCAGUCCUCCUGACUGUCUAUUGCCAGAAAUCAGUCCUCCUGAGCCAUCCUCCUCCUCCCCUCCUCCUGUAGACUGUGGUCUGUGUUGGAUGUUGCUGUUCAGUCUGUGUCCUGUAUCUGCUCUCCUCUACUCCGCCUGUGUUUACUCCUUUUACAGAACAACAGCUCCAACUGAGACUCAGGUUCCUCUGAACAAGACCACCACCAGGGGAAUUGACAGCAGAGAGCAGACUACUGUCAAAUACAUACACAUCUAUCAAUACCAGCAGAGUGUGAGACCUAUACCAUCCAUCAAUACCAGCAGAGUGUGACCAAUACCAUCCAUCAAUACCAGCAGAGUGAGACCUAUACCAUCCAUCAAUACCAGCAGAGUGUGACCAAUACCAUCCAUCAAUACCAGCAGAGUGAGACCUAUACCAGCCAUCAAUACCAGCAGAGUGAGACCAAUACCAUCCAUCAAUACCAGCAGAGUGUGAGACCUAUACCAUCCAUCAAUACCAGCAGAGUGAGACCUAUACCAUCCAUCAAUACCAGCAGUGUGAGUCCUAUACCAUCCAUCAAUACCAGCAGAGUGUGAGACCUAUACCAUCCAUCAAUACCAGCAGAGUGUGAGACCUAUACCAUCCAUCAAUACCAGCAGAGUGUGAGACCUAUACCAAUGUAGCUGGGAGGAAAUUAUUUUUAAGAGUUACUUAUUUUUUUUUUUACCUUUUCAUACAAGUGAUUUAUUUGUACACUUUUGGCUGUAACCUUUUAAUAAUAAUAACAAUAGUGAUUUAGAAAAUGUGGUUAAGAUCAGGGAAUAAUGGUUAAAUAGCUGUUGUUACAGUCUUAGUUUGUAAUUCUAGGUGUUAAAGUUCAUUGUUUUCCAUUUGUAAGUGUAUUGAUAUGUGUUAAUGUAGCUGAAUAAAUAUUGAUUCAGUUUAAUUACAUUUUAUUUAGUUAUUUAUUUGUCUCCCCUUAACUUCUCUUAGAGCGCGAGGUCAUUAUAUUUGGUUUGACAAACGCUCCAGCAAACCAAUCAGAGCUAUUUGAGGGUGUGGCUUAGAUGUGAAGGGUUGAGACUUUGGUGAAGAAGGUGUGGCUUAGAAAUAAAGAGGGUGUGGCUUUAGAGGAUGACAGAGAUGCAUGUAAAGAGCAUGGAGGUUAAGGGGUGUGAUUUAUAUGUUAAGAGGUGUGAUUUAUAUAUUAAGGGGUGUGAUUUAUAUGUUAAGGGGUGUGAUUUAUAUGUUAAGGGGUGUGAUUUAUAUGUUAAGGGGUGUGAUUUAUAUGUUAAGAGGUGUGAUUUAAAUGUUAAGGGGUGUGGUUUAUAUGUUAAGGUGUUAUUUAAAUGUUAAGGGGUGUGGUUUAUAUGUUAAGGGGGGGAAUUUAUAUGUUAAGAGGUGUGAUUUGAAUGUUACGGUGUGUGAUUUAUAUGUUAAUGUGUGUGGUUUAUAUGUUAAAGUGUGAUUUAAAUGUUAAGGGGUGUGGUUUAUAUGUUAAGGUGUGAUUUAAAUGUUAAGGGGGGUGGUUUAUAUGUUAAGGGGUGUAAUUUAUAUGUUAAGAGGUGUGAUUUAAAUGUUAAGAUGUGUGGUUUUAGUGGAAUACAGAGUUGUUGAGUAGAACCAGAGUAGUUUCUAUGGUUUCAUAAACAUGAAGCCCAGGGCUCUUUAACCCUGUUCCUGGAAAACUACCAUCCUGUAGGUUUUCACUCCAACCCUAAUCUAGCACAAUAAUAUUUAGCUCGUUGAUGAACUGAUUCGGGUUAGUUACAACUGGGGUUGGAUAUCCCUGACCCUGUAUAUGGUUGAACAUUUUAAGUUUUAAAUGAAGCUCCGUGAAGCUUUCAGUGAAAGCACAUUAUCAAUAGAGUUACAUAGUGAAACCAGGUUAAUUAUACUACAUUAUCAAUGGAGUUACAUAGUGAAAUCAGGUGAAUUAUACCACAUCAUUAGAGUAACAUAGUGAAAUCAGGUUAAUUAUACCACAUUAUCAAUAGAGUUACAUAAUGUAAUCAGGUUAAUUAUACUACAUUAUCGAUAGAGUUACAUAGUAACAUCAGGUUCAUUGUAUCACAUUAUCGAUAGAGUUACAUAGUAACAUCAGGUUCAUUGUAUCACAUUAUCAAUGGAGUUACAUAGUGAAAUCAGGUUAAUUAUACCACAUUAUCAAUAGAGUUACAUAGUGAAAUCAGGUUAAUUAUACCACAUUAUCAACAGAGUUACAUAGUGAAAUCAGGUUAAUUAUACCACAAAACAGUAGUCUCUGAAAAAGCAUGAUUUAAUUCCAGAAGAUAACCAUUACAUGUAUUUUCACCAAAUACUAAUCAUACAUGAAAAGUAGAUAAUUUCAUCUGAAUGAAGAGCAGAUACAACAGAAAGUGCAUGUUCAAUCUAUUAAAAGUAGAAAAUAAAUGUAAAAACUUUGAAUGUAACCAAAUUAAAGCCUUUUGGUGACA
rnacentral:lncRNA from 1 species